rnacentral:misc_RNA from 1 species
UGUUUAUCUUUGUUUACAAAUAUUGAACAGUAUGGGUCAAUAGGCCCGCUGCAGUUUCCUCCAUUCUUAUGUUCUUAUGUACUGCGCAGCAGAAUUAUUUUGAGACUGGACACCAGUUACAGUAUACUGUAUAACUUGAUUCAUGUCUACUGCAUAUUAAAAAAGUGAAGAGGAAAAUUGAGAUGACUGCGCAGGUUAUGCGAAGACUGUUGGUGGGUGGAGCUUCUGGAGCUUCAUAUCGCCGCUUCAUGGGGUGGGGUGAUAUCACUGCUGGACUUCGUUCUGCUGUUGUAUCUUCAAAUAUCCUCUCAAAGUCAGACGUACCCAUUUGCCUCAGCUCCAGAUCUUGCUGUGUAUCUGGACAAGGUGCCAAGAAAUCAUGGGAGGACCAGGGAGUGAGAAGAGUUACAGAGGCACCUGCUGUGACAGUCACUCAUGCCUCUGUGAAUCACAAGACAGCCAUGCUUGAGGUGAAGUGGACUGAUGGUGAAACAGAUGUGUUCCCAUAUGUGUGGCUACGAGAUAACUGCCAGUGCCCAUCUUGUUUUCAUGCUGCCUCUAACUCUCGCAUACAUCUUAUGGGGGAGUUUGAUCUUAACACUCAGCCUCACACUGCCCAGGUACUGGAAGAAGGUGAGCAGGUAGAGGUGGUGUGGAGUGAUGGUCAUAGUGGAACAUACUCAGCUGCCUGGCUUCAUCCUCGUGCAUUUAAUGCUACCCGGCGCCUUGCUCAGGCACCCAAAUUCAGGUUAGGUCGUAGGUACUGGGGAGCUGAGUUACUGAAGAACCUUCCCAGGGCAUCAUUCCAGGAGUUGCUCACAGAUGAUAAAGCCUUGCUAACUUGGCUGCAGCAGCUAGAGGUGCUGGGGUUUGUCCUGGUGAGUGGAGCGCCAGCUGAACCUGGACAUGUUCGCUCACUGGCAGAAAGAGUUGGCUUCAUCAAGAAGACUCAUUAUGGGGAAGAUUUUACUGUGAAGAUCAAACCAGAUCCCAGCAACGUGGCAUACCUUGAUAGUCCCCUGCAGCUCCAUGCCGACCUUCCAUACUAUGAGUACAAGCCUGGGGUCCAGUUCAUCCACUGUAUUGUCCAGUACGAGGGUAAAGGAGGAGAGUCUCAGAUCACCGACGCUGUUCAUGUAGCUCAGGAGUUAAAGAGACUUCAUCCUGAGAAGUUUCGUAUCCUCACCCAGACACCUGUGGACUGGUUUGACGUUGGCACUGAUGAAUAUGGAGCAUUUUACAAAGUUCUCCAGAUCCCUAUGAUAUGUACUGAUGUCAGCGGGGAGAUAUAUCGCAUCAACAUGAGCCAACCGCAGCGAGAUUCAUUUUUCUCUAUCCCAGCAAAUGAGGUGGCUGGCUGGUAUGAUGCCAUGAUUACGUACCAUCAUCUUCUUUCCAGCCCAAACUAUUGCCUUCAGUUCAAGAUGGUACCUGACCUCAAUAUGUAGCAGCACUAGAGGGCACAUCAUCUGCUAGCACAGCCCAAACUAUGCAGUUCCCUCAGGAUGCACCCAAAUAAAUAAAAGAAACAAAAUCCAUUUAGCUCUUUUGCUCCAUGAGUCACCUUGUGUCUGAACAAUUGCAGUCCAGGAAGCAGUUGUUCAGAUUCAAGGUAUGAUUCUAACUUUUGACAACAUGAGGAUUGUACAUGGACGCACAAGUUAUAUGUCAGGUUCAGGAGAGAGACAUGUUGAAGGCUGCUACAUAGACUGGGACGAGGUCAAAUCUCG